UUCGGUCUCUGAGUAAAGUGGCGCACGGGUGCGUAACACGUAAGUAAUCUACCCCGAACUCUGGGAUAACGCUCCGAAAGGAGGGCUAAGACCGGAUAGGGUCCCCGAGGUGCAGGCUGCGGGGGGAAAACGGGCCUCUGUUUCAUGCUCGUGGUUUGGGAUGAGCUUGCGGCCCAUUAGCUUGUUGGUAGGGUAAUGGCCUACCAAGGCGACGAUGGGUAGCUGGUCUGAGAGGAUGAUCAGCCACACUGGCACUGAGACACGGGCCAGACUCCUACGGGAGGCAGCAGUGGGGAAUUUUGCGCAAUGGGCGAAAGCCUGACGCAGUAACGCCGCGUGGAGGAUGAAGGCCUUCGGGUUGUAAACUCCUGUCAGGGGGAACGACGGAGCGAGGGUGAUAAACCCUUGCUUCCAGACGGUACCUCCAAAGGAAGCCUCGGCUAAUUCCGUGCCAGCAGCCGCGGUAAUACGGAAGGGGCAAGCGUUGUUCGGAAUUAUUGGGCGUAAAGGGCGCGUAGGUGGUUCUGUAUGUCUAUCGUGAAAGCGUACGGCUCAACCGUAUUGUGUCGGUAGAAACUGCAGGACUUGAGGCUGGGAGGGGCUGGUGGAAUUCCCUGUGUAGCGGUGAAAUGCGUAGAGAUGGGGGAGAACACUCGUGGCGAAGGCGGCCAGCUAGACCAGUUCUGACACUGAGGCGCGACAGCGUGGGGAGCAAACAGG
rnacentral:rRNA from 1 species